rfam:Mycoplasma sp. CAG:611_25_7 Ley3_66761_scaffold_9680, whole genome shotgun sequence.
AUAAAUGUUUAGAAAAAGAGAAGUAAAUUAAUUAUAUUAUUUAGAGAGUUGUUGGUUGGUGAAAAACAAUUAGUAAAUUAAUCGAAGGUAGCUUUGGAACUGAUUAUUUGAAGUAGUAGUAAAAUAAUCCGUAUAAUAUGCGUUAAAUAUAUGAGAUUUCAAUAUGAAAUGUUAAAAGGUGGUACCGUGCUUUUAAGCACCCUUUGG